UCCCUGGUGGUCCAGUGGUUGGAACUCUGUACUCCCAAUGCGAAGGGCAUGGGUUCAAUCCCUAGUCAGGGAA
rnacentral:tRNA from 1 species